rnacentral:rRNA from 1 species
CCCUUAGAUGCUCUGGGCCGCACGCGCGCUACACUGACCGAUGCAACGAGUUUCUUUCCUUGGCCGACAGGCCCGGGCAAUCUUUGAACAUCGGUCGUGAUGGGGAUAGAUUCUUGUAAUUUUUGAUCUUCAACGAGGAAUUCCUAGUAAACGCAAGUCAUCAGCUUGCAUUGAUUACGUCCCUGCCCUUUGUACACACCGCCCGUCGCACCUACCGAUUGAAUGGUCCGGUGAAAUCUCGGGACGGCGGCUUGGUCGCUUGCGUCCGACUGCUGAAACUUGAUUAAACCAUAUCAUUUAGAGGAAGGUGAAGUCGUAACA